UGCAUCGUUUUUUUUUUUCCUGGUGUAAAAUCCUGUAAAUGUUAAACUUGUAAAUAGUUAAAUAUAAAAUACUUGCGUUCGCUGAUUAUUUAAUUGGAUAUGAAUUGAACAUAUUUGGCAACUUUAGAAGAUGAGCACGUGAUCGGUGGGGGAGGGGAGCAACGGUUAGCGUCUGAUACCAGAGAAAAGUCUCUGUGAAUAAAACGGAUAUUAUCUCAAAUAUAAUCUCGAUUACAGAUUGCAGAUAACGAGGAUAUGAAGAACAUGAAGAUGGACUGGUUUCACAUGCAGAUGUUGCAGCAUCUGCAUCUGAGGUUGAGAAGACACUCAAUCUACCUGCCAAUCCUCAUCUGAUUUUGCUGGUCAACAUUUUUGACUGCAGUUGCAAGUGUUUGCUGUGCACUACAUCUUCAAUCUGCAGUAUCAAGAGGCGGCUUGUUGCACUUUAGAGUUUUUUCAAAGAUGAUUCUAUGGAAUAAACCCAGAAAGAGGCUCAAAGACCUGCCGAGGCAAGGUAGUCUCCAAGAAGACGGGGAAGGUGGUGAAUAAGAAGUCCACUACAGUCAAUCCAAAGGUUGCCACUCUACAAAAAAAUCGAAUGGACUUCUAAUGGGACUUCAUCUA